rnacentral:rRNA from 1 species
UACGUAGGGGGCAAGCGUUAUCCGGAUUUACUGGGUGUAAAGGGAGCGUAGACGGCUUGAUAAGUCUGAAGUGAAAGGCCAAGGCUUAACCAUGGAACUGCUUUGGAAACUAUGAGGCUAGAGUGCUGGAGAGGUAAGCGGAAUUCCUAGUGUAGCAGUGAAAUGCGUAGAUAUUAGGAGGAACGCCAGUGGCGAAGGCGGCUUACUGGACAGAAACUGACGUUGAGGCUCGAAAGCGUGGGGAGCAACCAGG